rnacentral:rRNA from 1 species
CAUAUUGUGAGCUCGAUGAGUAGGGCGGGACACGUGGUAUCCUGUCUGAAUAUGGGGGGACCAUCCUCCAAGGCUAAAUACUCCUGACUGACCGAUAGUGAACCAGUACCGUGAGGGAAAGGCGAAAAGAACCCCGGCGAGGGGAGUGAAAAAGAACCUGAAACCGUGUACGUACAAGCAGUGGGAGCACGCUUAGGCGUGUGACUGCGUACCUUUUGUAUAAUGGGUCAGCGACUUAUAUUCUGUAGCAAGGUUAACCGAAUAGGGGAGCCGAAGGGAAACCGAGUCUUAACUGGGCGUUAAGUUGCAGGGUAUAGACCCGAAACCCGGUGAUCUAGCCAUGGGCAGGUUGAAGGUUGGGUAACACUAACUGGAGGACCGAACCGACUAAUGUUGAAAAAUUAGCGGAUGACUUGUGGCUGGGGGUGAAAGGCCAAUCAAACCGGGAGAUAGCUGGUUCUCCCCGAAAGCUAUUUAGGUAGCGCCUCGUGAAUUCAUCUCCGGGGGUAGAGCACUGUUUCGGCAAGGGGGUCAUCCCGACUUACCAACCCGAUGCAAACUGCGAAUACCGGAGAAUGUUAUCACGGGAGACACACGGCGGGUGCUAACGUCCGUCGUGAAGAGGGAAACAACCCAGACCGCCAGCUAAGGUCCCAAAGUCAUGGUUAAGUGGGAAACGAUGUGGGAAGGCCCAGACAGCCAGGAUGUUGGCUUAGAAGCAGCCAUCAUUUAAAGAAAGCGUAAUAGCUCACUGGUCGAGUCGGCCUGCGCGGAAGAUGUAACGGGGCUAAACCAUGCACCGAAGCUGCGGCAGCGACGCUGAUGCGUUGUUGGGUAGGGGAGCGUUCUGUAAGCCUGUGAAGGUGUGCUGUGAGGUAUGCUGGAGGUAUCAGAAGUGCGAAUGCUGACAUAAGUAACGAUAAAGCGGGUGAAAAGCCCGCUCGCCGGAAGACCAAGGGUUCCUGUCCAACGUUAAUCGGGGCAGGGUGAGUCGACCCCUAAGGCGAGGCCGAAAGGCGUAGUCGAUGGGAAACAGGUUAAUAUUCCUGUACUUGGUGUUACUGCGAAGGGGGGACGGAGAAGGCUAUGUUGGCCGGGCGACGGUUGUCCCGGUUUAAGCGUGUAGGCUGGUUUUCCAGGCAAAUCCGGAAAACUAAGGCUGAGGCGUGAUGACGAGGCACUACGGUGCUGAAGCAACAAAUGCCCUGCUUCCAGGAAAAGCCUCUAAGCAUCAGGUAACAUCAAAUCGUACCCCAAACCGACACAGGUGGUCAGGUAGAGAAUACCAAGGCGCUUGAGAGAACUCGGGUGAAGGAACUAGGCAAAAUGGUGCCGUAACUUCGGGAGAAGGCACGCUGAUAUGUAGGUGAAGUCCCUCGCGGAUGGAGCUGAAAUCAGUCGAAGAUACCAGCUGGCUGCAACUGUUUAUUAAAAACACAGCACUGUGCAAACACGAAAGUGGACGUAUACGGUGUGACGCCUGCCCGGUGCCGGAAGGUUAAUUGAUGGGGUCAGCGCAAGCGAAGCUCUUGAUCGAAGCCCCGGUAAACGGCGGCCGUAACUAUAACGGUCCUAAGGUAGCGAAAUUCCUUGUCGGGUAAGUUCCGACCUGCACGAAUGGCGUAAUGAUGGCCAGGCUGUCUCCACCCGAGACUCAGUGAAAUUGAACUCGCUGUGAAGAUGCAGUGUACCCGCGGCAAGACGGAAAGACCCCGUGAACCUUUACUAUAGCUUGACACUGAACAUUGAGCCUUGAUGUGUAGGAUAGGUGGGAGGCUUUGAAGUGUGGACGCCAGUCUGCAUGGAGCCGACCUUGAAAUACCACCCUUUAAUGUUUGAUGUUCUAACGUUGACCCGUAAUCCGGGUUGCGGACAGUGUCUGGUGGGUAGUUUGACUGGGGCGGUCUCCUCCUAAAGAGUAACGGAGGAGCACGAAGGUUGGCUAAUCCUGGUCGGACAUCAGGAGGUUAGUGCAAUGGCAUAAGCCAGCUUGACUGCGAGCGUGACGGCGCGAGCAGGUGCGAAAGCAGGUCAUAGUGAUCCGGUGGUUCUGAAUGGAAGGGCCAUCGCUCAACGGAUAAAAGGUACUCCGGGGAUAACAGGCUGAUACCGCCCAAGAGUUCAUAUCGACGGCGGUGUUUGGCACCUCGAUGUCGGCUCAUCACAUCCUGGGGCUGAAGUAGGUCCCAAGGGUAUGGCUGUUCGCCAUUUAAAGUGGUACGCGAGCUGGGUUUAGAACGUCGUGAGACAGUUCGGUCCCUAUCUGCCGUGGGCGCUGGAGAACUGAGGGGGGCUGCUCCUAGUACGAGAGGACCGGAGUGGA